rnacentral:rRNA from 1 species
UACGUAGGGUGCAAGCGUUGUCCGGAAUUAUUGGGCGUAAAGAGCUCGUAGGCGGUUUGUCGCGUCGAAUGUGAAAACCCGGGGCUCAACCCCGGGCCUGCAUUCGAUACGGGCAGACUAGAGUUCGGUAGGGGAGUCUGGAAUUCCUGGUGUAGCGGUGAAAUGCGUAGAUAUCAGGAGGAAUACCGAUGGCGAAGGCAGGUCUCUGGGCUGACACUGACGCUCAUGCACGAAAGCGUGGGGAGCAAACAGG